rnacentral:tRNA from 1 species
AGUGUCAAGGGAUGGGAAUCGAACCCAUGACCUUCCGCUUACCGGGCAGAUGCCAUGACCACUAGGCCACAUGACC